AUUGAACGCUGGCGGCAUGCCUUACACAUGCAAGUCGAACGGUAACAGGUCUUCGGAUGCUGACGAGUGGCGAACGGGUGAGUAAUACAUCGGAACGUGCCUAGUAGUGGGGGAUAACUACUCGAAAGAGUGGCUAAUACCGCAUGAGAUCUACGGAUGAAAGCAGGGGAUCGCAAGACCUUGUGCUACUAGAGCGGCCGAUGGCAGAUUAGGUAGUUGGUGGGAUAAAAGCUUACCAAGCCGACGAUCUGUAGCUGGUCUGAGAGGACGAUCGGCCACACUGGGACUGCGACACGGCCCAGACUCCUACGGGAGGCAGCAGUGGGGAAUUGUGGACAAUGGGCGCAAGCCUGAUCCAGCAAUGCCGCGUGCAGGAUGAAGGCCUUCGGGUUGUAAACUGCUUUUGUACGGAACGAAAAGCCCCGGGUUAAUACCCUGGGGUCAUGACGGUACCGUAAGAAUAAGCACCGGCUAACUACGUGCCAGCCGCCGCCGUAA
rnacentral:rRNA from 1 species